rnacentral:misc_RNA from 1 species
GUGGAGGUGGUGGUGCUGGUGGAGGGUUCGGAGGAGGAAAAGGCGGUGGUGGGGGAUUUGGUGCUGGUGGUGGAGCUGGAGGUGGAUUUGGAGGGGGUGGGGGCUUCGGCGGAGGCGGCGGAGGGUUUUAAGCAAUGUAAAAGGAUGGAAAGCAAAACUAAGACCUCCUAGUACGUGAUUGAGUGAAAAAUAUGCAUAUUUAACCGGGCAACUUCCAUUAAAGGAAAUGUAUGAGCCUUUGUAUUAUCAAGUUGAUGCUUAUGAUUUAUAAAAUCUUAUUAGC